UGCAAUUAGGCAAAUUAGUUGCAACUUCGGCGCUUAUUGAUUGCUGCAAUUCAGAAUAGUCGCAACUUCCGCCCUCUGAGAUUGCUGCAAUUAGCUAGAAACCUUAAUACUCGAUCAAUCAUCUUCUCAACCCACCAGUCCUCAAUGUACGGUAGAUCUAGAAUUCCAAAAACAAUAACCCAGAGAAAGAGCUAGGUUUUCGAAUCUCCACAGCCAAUUUCUGCUCCCUUCUACACCGCCUGCUACCGCACUGCGGCUACUGCACCGCACCGCCUGUAACAAUCGAUUGAGGACUCUCCUUCGCCGGCUACCGCAACGCACCGCCUGUAACAAUCGAUUGAGGACUCUCUUUUUCCGGCUACCACACCGCACCGCCUGCUACCGCACCACCUGUAACAUUGGAAAAGGUUGUCUGUUCUUUUUCAACUCCCACCGCCAAGUAAAACCCAAGUUGCAGAAAAGUGGAGGGAGAAAGACGAAUUUAUCUGGGCUCUCCGGUAUCUUCGGUUCAAGCAACUGCAAUUGGUGGGGGAUUUCACCACCACUUUCUCACCCGUGCAAUUACGGUUGCUUUAACCUUUGUCUUUACUCUUUCCGUUAAAGAAAGUUCAAGUGUAGUCUUAUCAGCAACUUUUUGGACUUGAUUCAGAGCAUUUUUGGACCCAUUGGUGAGCUCGUAGAAGGGUUAUGUACAAAGAGAAAUGCCAUACUCUAAUGAGGAGUUAGAAGAAACUCGAGAACAUUGGGCAAAAUAUUUUAAGGACAACUAUUUGAUGGAUGCCGGCGAAUGAGUUUGUUGUCUAGUAAUGUUAUGUUUUAUGUUUUUGUUAUGUGUUGGAUAUGACGUUUGCUACUUGGAGCAUAUAUAUGGUUUUUGGAACAUAUAUGUAUGUUAUGUCUUAUAUACAGGUCUUUAUAAAUUCCCGUUUUGUUCGGGUUUCGCAAAUUACAAGGGAAACUAUGGCAAAUUUUUUGCAACCUAUUAAACUAUUUAUAAUGUUUUUAUUAUAA